UACGGAGGGUGCGAGCGUUGUCCGGAAUCACUGGGCGUAAAGGGCGCGUAGGUGGCCCGAUGAGUCAACGGUGAAAGCUCGGCGCUUAACGCCGAGUCGGCCGUCGAUACUGUCGGGCUCGAGCACUGUAGAGGCAGGUGGAAUUCCGGGUGUAGCGGUGGAAUGCGUAGAGAUCCGGAAGAACACCGGUGGCGAAGGCGGCCUGCUGGGCAGUUGCUGACACUGAGGCGCGAAAGCGUGGGGAGCAAACAGG
rnacentral:rRNA from 1 species